GCUUGGUCCCUGCAGUUGGUCGAACAGAUCGUCUAUGCGCGGUAGGCGAUAUCGGUUCUUGAUCGUCAGUUUGUUCAGCUCCCGAUAAUCGAUGCACAUGCGAAAGGAUCCGUCCUUCUUUUUCACGAAUAGGACUAGUGCUCCCCAUGGUGAGAAGCUCGUUCUGAUGAAUCCCUUGCUCAGCAGCUCAUUUAAUUGACUGGAUAGUUCCUGCAUCUCGGCUGGGGCUAAACGGUACGGUGACUUUGCUACAGGGGUAGCCCCGGGGAUUAAGUCGAUUCUGAACUCGACUUGACGUUCCGGUGGGAUUCCUGGAAGAUCUUCUGGGAAAAUAUCCGGGAAGUUGCAGACUUCCGGAAUAUCUUUAAUGUUUUUCGAUUCUCGUUUCUUGUCUACUACGUGGGCUAGAAAGGCAUGAUAUUCCUUACGAAGAUACUUUUGUGCUUUAAUACAGGAAAUGAUUUGUAAACUUGAACUAGGUUUGUCGCCAUAAAUGACAAGAGUUUCGCCGUUUGGCAGAUUUAGGCGAACAGCCCUUUCGUGGCAAAGGAUAUCGGCAUGGUGAAGGCUCAACCAGUCCAUACCGAUGAUGACAUCGAAACUUCUUAUGGAAAUGGGCAUAAGAUCGACUCGAAACAAGCGCUCGUUUAAAUUUAGUGUGCACCCUACGUACAAAUCGUUUGCGUGUUCUGUUUUACCGUUUGCCAUUUCUACAGUGAAUAUUUUAUUGAGUGGUUGGGGUUUUUGAUUAAGUAGGUGUUUGAAUUUAUGACUCACAAAACUUCUCUCCGCACCGCAGUCAAAAAGUAUGCAUGCAUAAGUGUUGUUGAGUAGAAACGUACCCGUAACCACCGUGGGGUCCGCUAUUGCUUCUUUCUGUCCUACUGCCAGCACUCUCCCCACACCGCCAAUAUUCCUUUCCUUGGGACAAUCCCUCCUGAAGUGUCCAGUCUCUCCGCACCCAUAACACGCCCGGCUUACUCCAGUGCCAGAAACUUGAGUGAUUGGUCGUGCCGGUGCUUUACAGAAACGGGCUGUGUGCCCUUUCCUGUCACAGUUCUUGCAGUGCAUCUCGCGACAAAUACCAUGGUGAUGGUAGUUGCACUUGCUGCACUUGGGCAGAUUCCCCGCAUAUGGUUUUGUUGGUGCAGAGGUAGCAGGAGUUGUGGUGGGGGUAGUAGCAGCAUGAACCGCAACCAUUUGCUUCUUUGAAGGUUCUUGCGAAGUUUGCCCCUUCCUUUUGUUCCAAAAUUUCUUCUUGUUGUUGUUGUUGGCAUUGAUUUCAUUGUUGCUGUUCCCUUUGGUUGGUUCAGCCAUAAUAGCCGCGACUCCUUGACAGACACCAUGAUCAACAAGAGAUUGCGCUAGUUCCUUGGCGCUGGCGAAGGUCAAGGGUUUGGAAGCUAACACACUUCCUCGAAGUUGGGGUGAUAGUCCCCAGAUGUAUCUCUCGACCUUUUGGCUUUCCAGGGUUAACAUUCCUGGGCAAAGUGUUAUUAAGUCACUGAACCUGUUGGUGUAACCUGCUAUGUCCGAACCUACCAUCGAAAGGUUCCACAGUUCCUAUUCAAGCUUCUGAAUCUCGCCUCUUUGGCAGUAUUCUCGAAGGAGCAUUCUUUUCAGGUUUUCCAAACCCAUGGAAUUCUCCACCACCAGGGUUAGUGUCUGGACGUGGCCGUUCCACCAUGUCAGGGCGCGUUCAGAGAAAGUAAAAGCGGCAAACUUUACUUUGCUUUCUUCAGGACAUGCGCAGAUUUCGAAUACAGCUUCUGUUUUCUCUAUCCAUUGAGAUAGAGCCAAUACUCCCCGAGUCCCGUAAAAGGGGAUAGGUUUUCCGUUGGUGAAGUCUUUGUAAGUGCAUACCCCUGAACGGCUUUGACCUUGGCCAUUUGUAAAACUGUUUGUUCCUCCUCCCGAUCCAUUGUUGCUCAUUUGAGCCAUUGUUGCAGUUACAGCAGCGGUUACAGCAGUCUGGAACAUAACGGCAUCCAUAGUUUGAGGAGGUGGUGGAGGUGGUGUUGAAGUUGAGUUUCUGCGUGUUGAUCUACGAGGAGGCAUGUUCUGGUAGAGAAAGAUAAGAAUGAAUACUAUAAGUUUCUAAUGUUUUGAUAAUCGUGUGUUAGUUGUAUCUUGAAAUUUGUUUUGAUCUUAGUUUAUGGUUUCAAGGCUGGCAUAGAAAUUUUAGUUAACUCAUAAGUUUCCGAGAGGUAUUAUAAAGAAGUAUUUCAUAUUUAUAUAUAUAUUGGUCACACCCGUGGUGUGUUACAUGUCUUGCUUGGAAAAUUUAACCUACCUAGAGGUCUCCGACUAUCGUUACAAAAGGAAAUAAGUGACAAGAAAAACUUUUAUCCGAAAUCCUAUUUUAUAACAAAAUUGUUGGGGCUCGAACAAGCUCUACUUGCGGCUUUUGGAGCUAGAUUCGGCAUCCGACCGUUUGACUCCCAUCAGUCGCCUCUCGAGAUCUUCUUGUUGUUCCUUCAUCUCUCUUAUUUCUGCCAGAGCCGUUAUCAUUUGGUUCUGAAGUGUCCCCGUGUAGAUUUGGGUAUUCUCAUGUAGUCCUUCCAAACGGCGGAUGUCAGCGGCGUUACCUUGGGUAGCAGCAUUGACCUCGCGAACUCUGGCUGCUUGCCUGUCCGUCUCGUAGUUCUGGGUAGCUAUAGCGUUCACAAUAACAGGAAGUGCUCGAUCAGCUGAGCUUCCCCCACUGACAUUGUAAAAAUCUCGGCACAUGCCGAAAGGAGGGCGUACACCUUGCUGGCGGCUCCAGUAGUAGAGGUGACUUCCCCACAUGGGAAUGGGUCCCGGUUGAUAUGGUCUGAUUUCGGGAGGAUGAGGGAUGGGAGGGUCGAUUACUUCCGGCUCGGAGUCCGUUCCACUAGAAAUUUCCUCGACCUCUUCGUCGACUUCGAAUUCCUCUUCGACUUCGACUUCGAACUCUUCUUCGAUAACCCCUUCGGGUUCCUCCUCGGCCUCUUCUUCGAUUUCCUCUGGGUCUUCCUCUGGGUCUUCUUCUAUCCAACCGCCGUUGCCUUGGUUUGGGUAGUAGGGAUCUCCUGGUAAAUGGAAUCCGACCAUUUGUCUAUACUAGGAUAGAGGUAUGAGAAUUUUAUAAGAAAAAAAAUUUCUAUUUAACGACUUGCUAUUUUUAACUAUAUUUUUACGGAGCACAAAUAUUUUAUUGUACAACUACUUUUAACAAUACUCCUAUAGUAUUUCAAAUUGGCGAAUCUAAAAUAAUUUGUAUUUGGUAAGUUUUUGGCUUGUUGUCCAUUUUGACCAUUCCUCGACGUAUGUUGGUCAAAUCCAGGAUAAAUAUAGUUGAUCUGGCUAUAUUUAUUCUCAACCUGAUUACAUAGCCCGGGGCUCAAUCGUAGUGUCGUAACUUGCCUUAAUACUUUUUAGAAAAACUUGUUAUGAUACGAGAUUAAUGCAUGCUAGUAAAUAUGUAUAUCUUUAAAAGAAAGUAUAUUGUUCAUGAAAAUGUUUCGUCAGAGGGUUUUUGGUCCCCUUUGCAUUUAUAGUUUGUAUAUCUUAUGUGGUUCGAUAUACUUAGUUCACUAUAAACAAUGCUCUGAUACCAAUCUGUCACACCCCCAAACCAGAAUGGCGGAAACAUUCGGGGGUGGAUGACUUCACGUAGUAUCACAACAAUUGAAUAUUGUAAAGAAAGUAACACAACCAUCAUAUAUAUAAUGAAAACGUAUAUUGUUGCGUUAUACAUACUUGCAAAAGAAUACUACAAUAUGAUGAUAAAUGUUCAAUAAUAAAAACAUCCUUAGUGUUCCUCCUCCAAAAGCUGGUAGUUACCUGUAUUACUGAUUCCCUGAGAUAUACAAGUGGUUUUUGAAAAAGUGUCAACAAUUAAGUUGGCGAGUUCAUAAGUGUUUUGCAUUGAAAAGUAUGUCCUUUUUGGUAGUAAAUCGAUGAACGAGGUUUUCAGAAAAUCCAAUAUUUUCUAUAAAUGGUUUGAAAAGUUUCCAGAGUUUGUGUGUGUUAGUAUGUUCCAUACUUGAAUAAUAAUGAUAACUUUGUACCAAAAUGAUGUAGAAAACUGAAUGCAUAUAUGAAUCUCGUAAAUCAAACUUGUUUUUAUACUUUUAUGUGAGUUUUAUAACCAUACUAUUGACACUGACGGCCUGUAACAACAUUCUUCAGGUGUUGUAGUGUUAUGACAUUUGUCACCCCAGACCUGCCGGUCUAACUAUAGCUAAUAGUUUAGGUGCGGGGUUGUCAAUCCCGUAUAGAUCUAUACACAAGUAUCACGCUCUCUCUCCAAGAGAUUAUGGUAUAUAAUACAGGACUUGAAAUGCAUACAUACGAGUACGUUGAAGUUUGAAUGUCUCACAUUACUUGGUAUAAACAGAUUUACGAUAAUAAAGACUUUACUUCCUUUGAAAGUAUUUCAUUUGUCAAGAUGUAUAUGUAAAAUGUAUGAAUAACUUGAUAACAAUACUCAUUAUAGUUUCUCAAAAAGUAUGUUUCCAUUUUGUAUGAAUAACUUGGUGAUAUAAUAGCCCUUUAAACAUAAAGAUAUUUGUAUCAAAACCCUAUAAGAUAGAUACUAUAAUUAUGUUUAUAAAACGAUACUUUGACAUGUAAUGUACUUGUAUUCCCCCCCUAAAACGUGAAAAGAAUUGAAAAGUAGGGGUAUGAACUCACUCGUUAAGUUUGAAGAGAGAGGCUAGCGUUGAACAGAGUUUCGAUCGCGGAAAGUUGCGUCUUCGGGCUCUCGGGAAUCUCUGCAGCGUAGAUCUUUCUUCGGGGGCUCGAGUGCGGAAAUUGAGGUCGUCGGGAUAGCUUCUGGUGCUUGGAAGUGUGUGGGAGUAAAUGGAGUUUUGAGAAAGUGUGCCUAAACUCGCAGCUGAUGCCAUCUAUUUAUAGUGCUAGAGGGGUGAGUACGCAGGGCGUAAUUCUGGAGUACGUGGGGCGUACUCACGUACGCAGCGCGUACCUCGUUACGUUGGGCGUAAGAAUGCGUCAUGGCUUACGACUCCGGGCUAUCUAAGCGUAGAGGGGGCAGCUGAUGGGACUCGACUCUGGGUCUAGUACGCGGGGCGUACUCCCAGAGAACGCGGGGCGUAAUCCGGCCUGUCCUCUUCUAAAUUCCGUAACUUUCGCGUACGAGCUCCGUUUUUCGUGUUCUUUAUAUCCAUGCGUAGGUGAGAUUAUGCUCUACAACUUUCAUUUAGACUCCGUCGGCUAGUUUUGACUUUCUCUUUAAUGAAAUAAUUUUAAUAGGCCAGGCCUCCUAAAGUUCGUUAAAAAUUCAAAGGUUCUUUAUUCACGUCGGUUUNUUUCGUUUGUCUUUUUAUCAAUUUGCUCCUAUUGUGGAGAUCUUCAACUCUCAUUUAGGUUGCGUUAGCUAAUUAACACUCGAUCUUCAAUUCGAGUUUUUAGCCCUCUACUACUGUUACGAAACUUUGAAAAUUCGUAACUUCUUCAUACGAGGUCCAAUUUGGGCGAUCUUUUUAUGCACGCUCACCUUUCAACGAGAUCUACGACUUUUGUUUAGAUACUUAAGGCUAAAAUGCAUAUUAUUGAGAUUUUACUUUUUACGUCAAAUAAUGUUUUAACGGCGUGUCGUAAAUAUACGAGUGGUUAUAAUUUCUUCAAUAUAACCCGGUUUUGAGCGUUCUUUAUGUUUUUGGAAAUGUUGACACGUUAUCUAAUAUUUGAUGCAUCCCAACUUAGAUAUUUGAACACUUUAUUUUCAAGGUUAAUUUAGUUGUAUUUGACUUUUGAGCGUUACAAUGCUUUUGGAAAAUAUAGGGUUGUCACAUCAUCCCCCUGUUAAGGGAAUUUCGUCCCGAAAGUUAAUCUAAGAUAGAGUUUACAGGUUAGGAAAAAGAUGCGGGUAUUUCUGUUUCAUCUGAUCUUCGCGUUCCCAAGUGUAUUCAGGUCAUCGCUUGGCAUUCCAACGGACCUUUACAAUAGGUAUGCGGCUUUGUUUAGUCCUUUUGAUUUCCCGAUCCAUGAUCUCUACUGGUUCCUCUACAAAUUGGAGGUUUUCAUUUAUUGCAAUUUCGUCUAGAGGUACGACAAUGGUCUCGUCGGAUAAGCACUUCUUUUGGUUCGAUACGUGAAAGGUAGGGUGUACGUUGUGGAGCUCCUGAGGUAGUCUAAGUUUGUAAGCCACUGGACCGAUCCUGGCAAGGAUCUCGAAUGGUCCGAUGUAUCUAGGGUUCAGUUUUCCACGUUUUCCGAAGCGUAUUAAACCUUUCCAAGGCGAGACUUUGAGUAGGACAUGGUCUCCAACCUGGAAUUCCAAGGGUUUUCGUCUCUUAUCUGCGUAACUCUUUUGUCUAUCCCUUGAUGCUUUUAGACGUUCUCUAAUUUGAAUAAUAUUCUCCGUAGUUUCCCUUAUCAUUUCUGGUCCAGUGAGCGCGUUGUCAGUUGCUUGUCCUUUUGCUACUUGUGUGUCCCCCACUUCGGCCCAGCACAAAGGUGACCUGCAUUUGCGGCCAUAGAGGGCUUCGAACGGGGCAGCUUUGAUACUGGUGUGGUAGCUGUUGUUGGACGAGAACUCGACCAAGGGUAGAUGUGUGUCCCAUGCUUUGCCAAAAUCGAUUACGCAAGCUCUCAGCAUGUCUUCUAGAGUUUGUAUAGUUCUCUCGCUCUGGCCGUCGGUUUGUGGGUGAUAAGCGGUACUCAUGUCUAGUCUUGUCCCCAAAGCUUUUUGUAGCGACUGCCAGAACCUUGAGGUGAAUCUACUAUCUCGGUCCGAGAUAAUGGAUAUGGGCACACCAUGCAGUCGUACAAUUUCUCUGAGGUAUGUCCUUGUUAACUUCUCCAAUUUAUCCGUCUCUUUGAUCGGUAGGAAAUGCGCUGACUUAGUUAACCUGUCGACAAUUACCCAAAUGGUGUCGAGUCCGCUUGUUGUUUUGGGUAAUUUUGUUAUGAAAUCCAUGGUUAUCCGCUCCCACUUCCAUUCGGGUAUUUCUGGUUGUUGUAAUAAACCCGAGGGCUUCUGAUAUUCCACCUUGACUUUGGCACAUGUCAGGCAUUUGCUUACGUAGGUAGCAAUUUCGGCUUUCAUGUUUUGCCACCAGUACAAUUUCUUGAGAUCGAGAUACAUCUUAUCGGAGCCGGGAUGUAUGGAGUAUCGUGUUUUAUGGGCUUCGUCCAUAACGAUUUCUCUGAAUCCACCAAACUUCGGUAUCCAAAUUCGAUCCAUGAAAUAACGAAUUCCGUUGUUCUUGGUCUCAAGGUUCUUAUCCAUUCCUCUUAGGGCUUCUCCUGUCACAUUUUCGGAUUUCAAGGCUUCUAUUUGGGCUUCCUUGAUUUGCGUGAACAGGUGUGAAUGGAUUGUCAUAGUUAGGGAUUUCACUCGGCGACCUGAGUACUCCUUCCGACUGAGUGCAUCAGCCACUACAUUAGCCUUUCCGGGGUGAUAUCGGAUUUCGCACUCGUAAUCACUUAGUAGUUCUACCCAUCGCCUCUGUCUCAUGUUGAGUUCCUUCUGGUUGAGGAUAUGUUGGAGGCUUUUAUGAUCAGUGAAGAUGGUACAUUUUGUGCCGUAGAGAUAGUGUCUCCAUAUCUUCAGAGCGAAGACGACUGCUCCUAGCUCAAGAUCAUGCGUUGUGUAGUUCACUUCGUGCGUCUUUAGUUGUCUUGAGGCGUAGGCGAUGACCUUCCCUCUUUGCAUUAAGACACACCCAAGUCCUUGGUUUGAAGCAUCACAAUAGACCACGAAGUCCUCCGUUCCUUCUGGCAAGGUUAGGAUGGGCGCACUACAUAAGGCUCGCUUUAGUGUCUGAAAUGCACUGUCUUGUUUUUCUCCCCAGUCGAAGGUCACAUUCUUCUGGGUUAGGGUGGUAAGUGGCUUGGCAAUCUUUGAAAAGUUCGGUAUGAAUCUUCGGUAAUACCCGGCGAGUCCCAAAAAUUGCCGGAUUUCUGUAGGGGUUCUUGGAGUAGUCCAACUAUCUAUUGCCUUUAUCUUGGAGGGGUCCACGUGUAUUCCUUCUUUGCUUACAACAUGUCCUAGGAAAUCCACUUCCCGAAUCCAAAAUUCACAUUUGGAAAAUUUUGCGUAAAGUUUCUCUGCCCUUAAUGUUUCCAGUACUUGGCGGAGGUGUUUGCUGUGUUCUUCCUGGCUUCUUGAAUAGAUGAGUAUAUCAUCUAUGAACACGAUCACGAACUUGUCCAGGAAGGGACGACAUACUCGGUUCAUCAAGUCCAUGAACACUGCUGGAGCAUUCGUCAAUCCGAAGGGCAUUACCACAAAUUCGUAGUGACCAUAACGUGUUCGGAAAGCCGUUUUGGGGAUGUCUCCUUCCAGUACUCGUAGUUGGUGAUAACCAGACCUUAGAUCGAUCUUUGAGAAGUAGCUUGCCCCCUGCAGUUGGUCGAAUAGAUCGUCUAUGCGCGGUAAGGGAUAUCGGUUCUUGAUUGUGAGUUUGUUUAGCUCCCGAUAAUCGAUGCACAUGCGAAAGGAUCCGUCCUUCUUCUUCACAAAUAGGACUGGCGCUCCCCAUGGUGAGAAGCUUGGUCUGAUGAAUCCCUUGCUCAGCAGCUCGUUUAAUUGACUGGAUAGUUCCUGCAUCUCGGCUGGGGCUAAACGGUAAGGUGACUUUGCUACAGGGGUAGCUCCGGGGAUUAAGUCGAUUCUGAACUCGACUUGACGUUCCGGUGGGAUUCCUGGAAGAUCUUCUGGGAAAAUAUCCGGGAAGUUGCAGACUUCCGGAAUAUCUUUAAUGUUUUUCGAUUCUCGUUUCUUGUCUACUACGUGGGCUAGAAAGGCAUGAUAUUCCUUACGAAGAUACUUUUGUGCUUUAAUACAGGAAAUGAUUUGUAAACUUGAACUAGGUUUGUCGCCAUAAAUGACAAGAGUUUCACCGUUUGGCAGAUUUAAGCGAACAGCCCUUUCGUGGCAAAGGAUAUCGGCAUGGUGAAGGCUCAACCAGUCCAUACCGAUGAUGACAUCGAAACUUCUUAUGGAAAUGGGCAUAAGAUCGACUCGAAACAAGCGCUCGUUUAAAUUUAGUGUGCACCCUACGUACAAAUCGUUUGCGUGUUCUGUUUUACCGUUUGCCAUUUCUACAGUGAAUAUUUUAUUGAGUGGUUGGGGUUUUUGAUUAAGUAGGUGUUUGAAUUUAUGACUCACAAAACUUCUCUCCGCACCGCAGUCAAAAAGUAUGCAUGCAUAAGUGUUGUUGAGUAGAAACGUACCCGUAACCACCGUGGGGUCCGCUAUUGCUUCUCUCUGUCCUACUGCCAGCACUCUCCCCACACCGCCAAUAUUCCUUUCCUUGGGACAAUCCCUCCUGAAGUGUCCAGUCUCUCCGCACCCAUAACACGCCCGGCUUACUCCAGUGCCAGAAACUUGAGUGAUUGGUCGUGCCGGUGCUUUACAGAAACGGGCUGUGUGCCCUUUCCUGUCACAGUUCUUGCAGUGCAUCUCGCGACAAAUACCAUGGUGAUGGUAGUUGCACUUGCUGCACUUGGGCAGAAUCCCUGCAUAUGGUUUUGUUGGUGCAGAGGUAGCAGGAGUUGUGGUGGGGGUAGUAGCAGCAUAAACCGCAACCAUUUGUUUCUUUGAAGGUUCUUGUGAAGUUUGCCCCUUCCUUUUGUUCCAAAAUUUCUUCUUGUUGUUGUUGUUGGCAUUGAUUUCAUUGUUGCUGUUCCCUUUGGUUGGUUCAGCCAUAAUCGCCGCGACUCCUUGACAGACACCAUGAUCAACAAGAGAUUGCGCUAGUUCCUUGGCGCUGGCGAAAGUCAAGGGUCUGGAAGCUAGCACACUUCCUCGAAGUUGGGGUGAUAGUCCCCAGAUGUAUCUCUCGACCUUUUGGCUCUCCAGGGUUAACAUUCCUGGGCAAAGUGUUAUUAAGUCACUGAACCUGUUGGUGUAACCAGCUAUAUCCGAUCCUACCAUCGAGAGGUUCCACAGUUCCUGUUCAAGCUUCUGAAUCUCGCCUCUUGGGCAGUAUUCUCGAAGGAGCAUUCUUUUCAGGUUUUCCCAACCCAUGGAGUUUGCCACCACCAGGGUUAGUGUCUGGACGUGGCCGUUCCACCACGUCAGGGCGCGUUCAGAGAAAGUAAAAGCGGCAAACUUUACUUUGCUUUCUUCAGGGCAUUCGCAGAUUUCGAAUACAACUUCUGUUCUCUCUAUCCAUUGAGAUAGAGCCAAUCCUCCCCCAGUCCCGUAAAAGGGAAUAGGUUUUCCGUUGGUGAAGUCUUUGUAAGUGCAUACCCCUGAACGACUUUGACCUUGGCCAUUUGUAAAACUGUUUGUUCCUCCCCCCGAUCCGUUGUUGCUCAUUUGUGCCAUUGCUGCAGUUACAGCAGCGGUUACAGCAGUCUGGAACAUAACGGUGUCCAUAAUUGGAGGAGGUGGUGGAGGUGGUGUUGAAGUUGAGUUUCUGCGUGUUGAUCUACGAGGAGGCAUGUUCUGGUAGAGAAAGAUAAGAAUGAAUACUAUAAGUUUCUAAUGUUUUGAUAAUCGUGUGUUAGUUGUAUCUUGAAAUUUGUUUUGAUCUUAGUUUAUGGUUUCAAGGCUGGCAUAGAAAUUUUAGUUAACUCAUAAGUUUUCGAGAGGUAUUAUAAAGAAGUACUUCAUAUUAAUAUAUAUAUAUAUAUUGGUCACACCCGUGGUGUGUUACAUGUCUUGCUUGGAAAAUUUGACCUACCUAG
rnacentral:lncRNA from 1 species